rnacentral:rRNA from 1 species
UUAAAUUGAAGAGUUUGAUCAUGGCUCAGAUUGAACGCUGGCGGCAGGCUUAACACAUGCAAGUCGAACGGUAACAGGAAGCAGCUUGCUGCUUUGCUGACGAGUGGCGGACGGGUGAGUAAUG